UACGGAGGGAGCAAGCGUUAUUCGGAUUCACUGGGUUUAAAGGGUGCGUAGGCGGAUCGGUAAGUCUGUGGUGAAAUCCCCGAGCUUAACUCGGGAACUGCCGUGGAUACUAUCGAUCUUGAAUACUGUGGAGGUAAGCGGAAUAUGUCAUGUAGCGGUGAAAUGCUUAGAUAUGACAUAGAACACCGAUAGCGAAGGCAGCUUGCUACACAGUUAUUGACACUGAGGCACGAAAGCGUGGGGAGCAAACAGG
rnacentral:rRNA from 1 species